rnacentral:rRNA from 1 species
UACGUAGGGGGCAAGCGUUAUCCGGAUUUAUUGGGUUUAAAGGGUGCGCAUGCGGUCUGUUAAGUCAGCGGUCAAAUGUCGGGGCUCAACCCCGGCCUGCCGUUGAAACUGGCGGCCUCGAGUGGGCGAGAAGUAUGCGGAAUGCGUGGUGUAGCGGUGAAAUGCAUAGAUAUCACGCAGAACUCCGAUUGCGAAGGCAGCUCACUAGACUGCAACUGACACUGAUGCUCGAAAGUGUGGGUAUCAAACAGG